rnacentral:rRNA from 1 species
GAUUAUGGCUCAGGAUAAACGCUGGCGGCGUGCUUAACACAUGCAAGUCGAACGGAGUAUCCUUCGGAGGUUAAAGAGCUGCGCGGAGAGAUCUUUGGAAUACUUAGUGGCGGACGGGUGAGUAACGCGUGGGUAACCUGCCUCACACAGGGGGAUAACAGUUGGAAACGACUGUUAAUACCGCAUAAGCGCACAGUAUCGCAUGAUACAGUGUGAAAAAACUCCGGUGGUGUGAGAUGGACCCGCGUCUGAUUAGCUAGUUGGUGAGGUAACGGCCCACCAAGGCGACGAUCAGUAGCCGGCCUGAGAGGGUGUACGGCCACAUUGGGACUGAGACACGGCCCAAACUCCUACGGGAGGCAGCAGUGGGGAAUAUUGGACAAUGGGGGAAACCCUGAUCCAGCGACGCCGCCGUGAGUGAUGAAGUAUCUCGGUAUGUAAAGCUCUAUCAGCAGGGAAGAUAAUGACGGUACCUGACUAAGAAGCACCGGCUAAAUACGUGCCAGCCGCAGC